AGGCAUAUCAUGUUGAAACACCAGUUCUCCUACAAUCACUGAAGUUAAGCAAUGUUGAGCCUGGUCAGUAUCUAGAUGGGUGACCACUUGGGAAUACCAGGUUCUG